GAUGAACGCUGGCGGCGUGCCUAAUACAUGCAAGUCGAGCGAACGGACGAGAAGCUUGCUUCUCUGAUGUUAGCGGCGGACGGGUGAGUAACACGUGGAUAACCUACCUAUAAGACUGGGAUAACUUCGGGAAACCGGAGCUAAUACCGGAUAAUAUUUUGAACCGCAUGGUUCAAAAGUGAAGAAGGUCUUUCUGUUAAUUUUAGAAGGAUCCGCGCUGCAUUAGCUAGUUGGUAAGGUAAAGGCUUACCAAGGCAACGAUGCAUAGCCGACCUGAGAGGGUGAUCGGCCACACUGGAACUGAGACACGGUCCAGACUCCUACGGGAGGCAGCAGUAGGGAAUCUUCCGCAAUGGGCGAAAGCCUGACGGAGCAACGCCGCGUGAGUGAUGAAGGUCUUCGGAUCGUAAAACUCUGUUAUUAGGGAAGAACAUAUGUGUAAGUAACUGUGCACAUCUUGACGGUACCUAAUCAGAAAGCCACGGCUAACUACGUG
rnacentral:rRNA from 1 species